rnacentral:sRNA from 1 species
GUACAGGAUCGAUUGGGAUACUCAUCAAAUUAUAACACGAAACCGAGAUGAUUUACCUAUCCAAUGGCGGGCCACAUAUACAUGGAAACGUUCCCUACCAUGUUGUUUUUCGGUGGAUUACAAAGGACGGCAAAUGCUCAAAUCUUAUCACAUCGGAGUUUCAUCACAUCUCC